CGUCCACAGCCUCGCUGUUUCUGGCGGCGCCUGGCCUAUCCUACCCAUGAGGGGGCCAGUGUGAGCGCUGGAGGGCCCCGGCCUACCAGGGGGCCAUGGUGGGCGCACCGGCCAGCUGUCCACCUUUGGGCCUCAGUCUGCCCUUCUUCCCGGAGUGCAGCACAGCUCUUCGGCCGCUUCUGAGACUGCCAGGAGGGCUCGGCUUCCUGCUGUGAACUUGCGCUCCCUGCCUGGUCUCCCCAGCCUCAGUUUCUUCUCUGAGCAGCUGGACUGCCCUGCGGUUUGCAGUCCUCUCAGCACUGCCUGACAGUGGGGCAGGGACUCCAGUCCAGGACCCCGCCAUGGUGGGAAGGAUGUGUCCUCCCGACAAGGUGGCACCCACAGAAGACCGCCCUGGGGAGACAUGAAACCGACACCCUGCAGCUCACUGGUGCUCAGACUCACAGAGGAGGCCCCAGGGGCAAAAGAGUCUGCACCCCCACAGUGGUGAAGAUGCCUCUGCUCAGGACCCCAGGAGACAGCCACCUGGUCGUGGUGGCCACGCCGAGAGGCAACGCCCUCCUGUCUGAGAUUGUUGGUUGAAAUUCCAGGGAGAAGGGCAGCGGUGUCCUGCUCCUCCUCCCCAGCCAGGACACAUCAAUCACGGGCGGCAGCUGCCCUUGCCAGGUAAAGAAACAGUGGGAGUCCACGGUGGCCAGGAGCCUCCCAAGGGUGCAUCACAGCCCGAAUGAAAACCACAGUCGGAGUCCAGAAUCCGCACCCAAAGCCCACAGCUGCCGUUGGGACCUCUCCCCAGAGAGCUAACGCUGGGUUCCAGGCAUUUGCUGUUGAACGGAACGCAGAAAAUGAAAUUCUCGCUUUGAUGUCGGGGUGCAGCCGGUGCCACGUCCCAGCCGCACCCGGCCCAGUGCCCCCUCCUCGGCCCUGGGAUCUGGGUUCGGAAGCCCUGCAGAACUCAGCUCCUUUCUGCCUCGUCGUUUCUGCGGUGCCCGCUUCCGGUAGUCUGUUUGGGUGUUUUGUAGUUUUCCACUGUGAGUCCCUUCUUGUCAGAGCUCCUGUGAGAAUCUGCGGAAUUCUGUGGGAAUCUGGUGAGUUCUGGGCCCGGAGCUGCUUAUUCCUGCGUGUGUCCCUCAGGGCGCCUGGAGACAGACACCCAAACUCGGCCCACAGCACCGAGUCCCCGUCUUGCACACACGGCGAGCCCAGGUCCCAAGUGUGAUUUAGAGGGGAGUUUUCCUCCCUGGUCACCUUCCUUUCCUCCCUGCAGCUUCAGCCCCACCUCCCGCUGGAUUCCGGCUCCUCUUCGUUUUCUGGCUCCUGCUGUUUUUCCUUCUUUUUGUGAGUUCAGCUAUGCAUUGGAAGGAUGUUUAUCAUUUUAUAUCCAAGUUUUAUAGGUUUUUAUGUAUGUUUUUGCUAUGGGUACUUUUUAUAGAUUUUUGCAUCUAAGUUUUUGUAUGACUAGUCUAUCACACUAUUAAAAAUAAAUUCCUAGACCACAGGUGGUGGCUCACACCUGUCGUGCUGGCGUUCUGGGAGGCUGAGGCAGGAGGAUCACACCCACUAACUUGUUCUUACUGUGUGAGCCACCCAGGACUUGCUGUCACCUGUGAUUUUGAAAACCAGACAGCCUCCAUCUUCAAGCUGAGGGAAGCAGGGUGUCACUCCGCCUCUAAAGAUGUCCGCGUCUAGGUCAGACCGCAGCAGUGUGGCUGGGGCUGGAUGGCACACUGAUGUCCCCCCAGAGCAAGACCAAAGAGCCACCCC